CAGCCGCCGCGGUAAUACGUAGGGGGCGAGCGUUACCCGGAUUCACUGGGCGUAAAGCGGGUGUAGGCGGCUCGGUAAGUCGGGUGUGAAAUCCCACAGCUCAACUGUGGAAUUGCGCCCGAAACUGCUGAGCUUGGGGCCGGUAGAGGGAGACGGAACUGCCGGUGUAGGGGUGAAAUCCGUAGAUAUCGGCAGGAACGCCGGUGGGGAAGCCGGCCUCCUGGGCCGCGCCCGACGCUGAGACCCGAAAGCUAGGGGAGCAAACCGGAUUAGAUACCCGGGUAGUCCUAGCCGUAAACGAUGCCCACUAGGUGUGGGGGAUUAAUUCCUCCGUGCUGUAGCUAACGCGUUAAGUGGGCCGCCUGGGGAGUACGCCCGCAAGGGUGAAACUUAAAGGAAUUGGCGGG
rnacentral:rRNA from 1 species